CCUGCCCACUGAUAUAUUUAAAUUUUAAUGGCCGCGGUAUUUAUGACCGUGCAAAGGUAGCAUAAUCAUUAGUCUUUUAAUUGAGGGCUUGCAUGAAUGGUUGGACAAGAGAAAAACUGUCUUCUAAAAUAAGGAUUGAAUUUAACUUUUAAGUGAAAAGGCUUAAAUGGUUCAAAGGGACGAUAAGACCCUAUAAAGCUUUAUAAAGAAUAUAAAAUUUAGAUUAAUUUUAUUAUUAAAAGUUAAGAUUUAUAUUAUUAUUAAGUUGGGGCAACAAGAGUAUAAUUAAAAAUAACUGCUAAAUUAUUUUAUACAAAUAUAAUUGUGUUAAGUUUUUAUGAUCCUUAUUUUAAAGAUUUUAAGAUUAAGUUACUUUAGGGAUAACAGCGUUAUUUUUUUUGAGAGUUCUUAUCGAAAGAAAAGUUUGCGACCUCGAUGUUGAAUUAAAAUUUCUAUGUGGUGUAGUCAUUACAUAAGAGGGUCUGUUCGACCUUUAAUUUUUUACAUGAUUUGAGUU
rnacentral:rRNA from 1 species